GACGAAGGAUGCAAGCGUUAUCCGGAUUCAUUGGGUUUAAAGGGAGCGUAGGCGGCCUUGUAAGUCAGUGGUGAAAUCUCUGGGCUUAACUCAGAAAUUGUCAUUGAUACUGCAGGGCUUGAGUACAGUUGCCGUUGGCGGAAUAUGACAUGUAGUGGUGAAAUACAUAGAGAUGUCAUAGAACACCGAUUGCGAAGGCAGCUAACGAAACUGUAACUGACGCUGAGGCUCGAAAGUGUGGGGAUCAAACAGG
rnacentral:rRNA from 1 species